AGAGUUUGAUCAUGGCUCAGAUUGAACGCUGGCGGCAUGCUUAAUACAUGCAAGUCGAACGGUAACAGAUUCUUCGGAAUGCUGACGAGUGGCGGACGGGUGAGUAAUACAUAGGAAUCUGCCCAUGUAGUGGGGGACAACUUGGGGAAACUCAAACUAAUACCGCAUAAUUCCUACGGGAUAAAGAGGGCCACUGCUUGCAAGCUCUUGCUACUGGAUGAGCCUAUGUCGGAUUAGUUAGUUGGUAAGGUAAUGGCUUACCAAGACAGCGAUCCGUAGCUGGUUUGAGAGGAUGAUCAGCCACACUGGGACUGAGACACGGCCCAGACUCCUACGGGAGGCAGCAGUAGGGAGUAUUGGACAAUGGGCGCAAGCCUGAUCCAGCAAUGCCGCGUGUGUGAAGAAGGCCUGCGGGUUGUAAAGCACUUUCAAUUGGGAAGAAAGAUUAUGAGUUAAUACCUUAUAAUAUUGACG
rnacentral:rRNA from 1 species